rnacentral:lncRNA from 1 species
UUUGGCUAUAAAGGAGAGCUUCAACUCUCAUUCUACACACCAACAAAGAGAGAAAGAAAGAGUGAGAUUUCACAGGCAAGGUAUAAGAAAAUAGUGUGUGAGAAAAAUAGAGAGUGAGCGAUAUUGUAGUGAGGUAGGAAUAUCAAAAGAGGGUUAUUUCUUUUGACUGUUGUAGUGGUCUUUGAAGUAUUUUACUCGGAACUACAAAGUGUAAAAUUCCUUACUAUAGUGAUAUCAGUUGCUCCUCUCAGGGCCG